AUGAUUUGGUCUCCUGAAUUUACAAAAGCACCAAUAUUACCCUCAAUGAGUUGGUCAUCUUCAGUAAUAUGUUCUUUCUUGACAAUUUCCACUACAGCGCUGUCACUGCCCUCCACCAGCCCACUGUCUUCUGCUGGUCCUGGCAGCGGUGAUGCAGUGUCUUCCCCUGGCGCUGGCAGCGAAAGCCCGGUGCUCUCCUCUCGCCAUGCAGGCGGCAGCCCCGUGCUCUCCUCCGAUCCCAAAGGCAGGGGCUCAGUGCCCUCCGGCUCCUCCCUUUUGCUAACUGAAUCAAUCUUUUCUUCCAGUGCUGGAAUGAGAAUGGCCUCCUCUUCUGGGAGAUGCUCUCCUGGUUUUGAGUCCUCGGAGGCAAGACUUGCAUCUUCUGCUGGGUCCAGCUUUGUCUGGUCAGGAAAAACAGUGGAAAGAACUUUCUCAUACCAGAGGAUGAGGCAUGCUUGAGCACACUACCCCCAGUGCAGCAACAUACUACCUGCGACCAACGGAAGGAAGAAUAAGUGAACGAAAAUUGCUGAGGCUGACUUUGCUAUCCUACCCGUUAGUAAUGCUCUGACUGUUGCCAACCUCAGAAAAACUUCAGGAAUUUGAUUAGUAAAAAGAGAAAAGCAAACCUUUUUUGCCUCUAUUUCUUAAAACAAAAAAUGGUUUGUAUUUUUUAAUGUUAAACUAGCAUACAUACUACACUUUUUCUAACUAAACAUUCAACAACAGAGCGCCUGCACUAACCUAAACUUCUGAUUCUAAUUUCUUUGAUCAAAUUAUUGGCUAAGUAAAGCAAUUGAUCUUUUCAGUAGACAAAAUUUAAGGCCAGAAAAAGGCAAAAUUCCUCUGACAGGUAUCUGAUUGUUGGACGGCUCAAAAGGAACUAUGUAUGCCUAUCAGACUGAUUAAAUAACUUUCUGAUUACAUUCAGUUUGACAACAGCUUGUACUUAACCUUCUCACAAGGAAUGCCAAGAUGAAAACACUCACUGGGAGUUUGUGCACAAAAUCUGUUAAUAUAGUAAUUACAAGAUCUAGACUAAUUGUAUUUUCUGGGAAAAUGAUGAUUGUGGUGUUAAAGCCUGUAAGCAGAAGAGCGUGAUGCUUCCUGCACAACGUACGAGUGAUUCAGAAGCCAUCACCAGCGCCGUGAGCAGCAGCCGCCCAGCACGGCCAUCAGAAAGCGCUGCUGCGCUGGUGGCAGCUCUUCCCGGGCUGGUUCCUCCCCCUGCUCGAAAUUCAGAUUUACCUUCACAGCCGCUCUGGGAGAGGUGACUCAAGACCUCCCUCUCAGACUAUUCAGCAUGGGGAUUUAGCACCUACUAUGGCAGUCAGAGGGCAGCAGGCACUUAAAUGAGUUUGUGGUCCUUGUCCUCAGUUACCAGGAAGUUAAUUUAAUCUGUAUGCUAGCUGGAUGUCAGCAAAGCUAACAGUCACAGGGCAGAGCUUCAAGCAUUUGGUAUGUUUGUUGAAAAUGUUAUUAAGAGUAUUGAUAUUAGUGAUAUCAUGGUCUGCUUGUAACACUGUGUUGGGAUUGCGCGUGUUACAACAUCACAGCAGCAUGAUGAAGGAAUAGCGAAAUCUGCCAGCUUAACUUCUCCUUGCAUGUUUGCCGCCUAGCAACACUCUAAAAAAAAGUCCAAAUUGUAAAAAUUUGUGGUUAUGACUUUAAAAAAGCAGAUGGACAGCUCUUAAAGACAUAAGAAACAAACACAUUAAAUAGAAGGACUGUUUAUACAAAUCAGAUUUGUUGCUAUGUAGAGGUACAGUUGUUUAUAACGCAACUCGAAAAAAGGAGGCAAGAUAAGCUAUGCAAGCCAGGUCCGCCAUCCGCCUGGCCCAGCAGCCCGCCUCUGCCAGUGGCCAAGGGCAGGAGGCGCCGGCACUCACCCGGUGGCAGUUGGCUGGGGACAGUCUUCUGUGAUUCUGUCCAAACCCUUUAUAUCCAUUUAUGCUCUCGGCCUCCAUAGUCAUCAACGGCAAUGAGUUCUGCAGCUUACUGAUACCGUCUGGAAAACUUAAUUUUUGCUUGUUUUAAGCCUGCUACUAGUAAUUUCAGCAAGUGACAUAGUUCUUAUGUUACAAGAAACAGCCAAUUAUAUAUCCAUAUUUACCUUCUCAAGGCCUCUAUCGCACCCUAUCUUCCAGGCACUGUUUCCUAAUAUGAAGCUCAGUCUGAAAUCACUUUCUGAAAACAGACACCCAGUCAAAAUACCAGUAAAUAAGUAUUAAACUUGGCAAGAAACUGUGCAUAGUGUUUUCACAGGACAAGCUCUUUCUAGGCAGAGUUCUUGGUGAUUAUGGGCUUAGGGCCCACAUUUUCCAAAGGGAUCGGUGACUACAUGCAUGUUCGUGCUGUGCUCAACUUUGGACAGCCUCUAGGGCUGGGCAGCAACACCUUGUGGAAAUCACACACCUUGAAGAAGUCUCACACUGGCUCGUCCAAGGGUGGCUGGAAAAGUACUAUGUACUAAGAGGCAAGAGACUUGAUCUUUUCUCGUUUUAUUUUUUAGACCUUUACACACUUCUGACACCUUCCCCUUGCUUAGUACCCGGUAGACAAGGAGCAUUUAAAACUCGGACAGAGAAAUAAGUGAGCCCUGAAAGCUAGCGUCUUAUAUGGAGUUUUCAAUUUGUGUUACCCAGUAAAAGAAACUUAAUUCAAAAAAAUUAUUCUUAAGAGUCCCCUGCAGUUCCUCUAAACAUCAGGCAUGUAAUGUUCAGCUAGCACUCUCUUCAGCAAGGUUCUUUAUAUAAAUUGGAUUAUAAAACACUACUAUGCAAUGCAAGAUCCACACUGCUGGAAACCUUUAAAGCAUUCCUCUGCUCUCAUUUAAAAUACAAAGACUUCUCUUAUACAGAAGAAAUAAAUCCUCCUGGUAACUUGUUCA
ensembl:lncRNA